UGCCAGCCGCCGCGGUAAUACGAAGGGGGCUAGCGUUGUUCGGAAUCACUGGGCGUAAAGCGUAUGUAGGCGGAUCAAAAAGUUAGAUGUGAAAUCCCUGGGCUCAACCCAGGAACUGCAUUUAAAACUAGUGAUCUAGAAUUUGGUAGGGGCCAGUAGAAUUUCCAGUGUAGAGGUGAAAUUCGUAGAUAUUGGAAAGAAUACCAGUGGCGAAGGCGACUGGCUGGGCCAUUUUUGACGCUGAGAUACGAAAGCGUGGGUAGCAAACAGGAUUAGAUA
rnacentral:rRNA from 1 species